GUGCCUCGCCGAGUUCCGGGACGGGGAGCUGCUCCGGCUCCUGCCCAAGUGCGGCCACGCCUUCCACGUUGCGUGCAUCGACACGUGGCUCCGGGGACACGUCAACUGCCCCCUGUGACGCGCUUCCCUCGUUAUCGCCUUCUCUAUCCCCGUCGUCGUCGUCAUCUUCUUCGGACUCCACCAUUAGCGAUCAUGAUGGCUCCGAUUCGAGUAAUCAGGUGGAAGUUAGGGGAAUUGAAGAGGGAACAGAUGCUGGAGAUGUCGAAAUCGGAGGUGAUAAUGCAAUUGAGGUUAAUUCGACAGUAGAAGUGUCUUCUUCAUCUAGGGUUCUUUCUAACUCACAGUCACAGGAUAAAGUAUGAAGAGAGAUGUUUGAGAGGGUAAACAAUACAACUUUGUAGAGGAGAAAGGCUUGGUAUCAGCGGGAAAAAAAAAAAAAAAGGAAUACAAGAAUGAUUUUUUAGUGCAAAAGGAGUUCACCAGUUCGCCGGCAACAACCCUUUUCGUAGCAAUGUGUACAGAAAGGAAGCAAGUGAUUGUUGCAGCAGUUAAGAGAAAUCACGCUGCUUCGGUCCGAGUUGGGAUUACACUGUCUGAUAUGAUAAUUUGAUGCAAUUGUCAUUUCCAUAUGCCUUCUAUUAUCUAAUUUCUACUUUGUGAAAGAACCUAUAGUUAUUCUUUCUGUUCUCAACUUCUAAUAUCGUCUUUCAACUACCAAAAUUAGAACAUCACUUCAAUAUAUUUUACUAAGAUGUAUAAUCUAAUAGUUGUUGGUGAAAUAUGGGGCUGUUCAUCUAAAGUAGUUAUCAUGCCUUUGGCUUUGUACUGUAAGCAUAAAUGUGCCUUUUUAGUCUGCUUGCUUAGAGGGGACUUGCAUAGUAACUGUUGGCUGUUGGCUGG